UGCCAGCAGCCGCGGUAAAACGUAGGGGGCGAGCGUUGUCCGGAAUCACUGGGCGUAAAGGGUGCGUAGGCGGUCGAGCAAGUCUGGAGUGAAAGUCCAUGGCUCAACCAUGGGAUGGCUCUGGAAACUGCUUGACUUGAGUGCUGGAGAGGCAAGGGGAAUUCCACGUGUAGCGGUGAAAUGCGUAGAGAUGUGGAGGAAUACCCGUGGCGAAGGCGCCUUGCUGGACAGUGACUGACGCUGAGGCACGAAAGCGUAGGGAGCAAACAGGAUUAGAUACCCUGGUAGUCC
rnacentral:rRNA from 1 species